UCCGGAUCUCAGAUCAAGCAAGAGA
rnacentral:rRNA from 1 species